rnacentral:rRNA from 2 species
AUGCGAUACUUGGUGUGAAUUGCAGAAUCCCGUGAACCAUCGAGUCUUUGAACGCAAGUUGCGCCCCAAGCCUUUGGGCCGAGGGCACGUCUGCCUGGGUGUCACGCAUUGUAGCCCCCCACCCUCGUCGUAAUGUCUGUGAGGGCUGUGUGGGGCUGAUACUGGCCUUCCCGUAUGCACAGCAAUGCGGUUGGCCCAAAUGGAGGAACCCAGGGCGGUGUAUGCCAUGAUGAACGGUGGUGUGUGCUUAGCCUGCCGUCGUUAGAGCAUCAUGCGCAUCAUGCCCUUGAGGUAUGUUUCGUGGACAACCCCGGUGCAAUCAUAGCGCGCAUCGCGACCCCAGGUCAGGCGGGAGCACCCGCUGAGUUUAAGCAUAUCAAUAAGCGGAGAAAAAGAAACU